CUGCCAGCAGCCAAGGAGGAAGGAGUUUUCUCUCAUGGAAGAGAGGAGCAGUCUGACUGAAGGAGAGGCUUUUCUUGCAUUGUCCUUCUUCCAGGCCAGAAAAUGCUCAGACACAAGAGUCAAG